AUUCUUCUCCUCAGUUUCAAAAAAAGGAAAAAAAACCCUAUUUUCUCUGAAGGGUUCCAGAAUUCGGCCAGGGGACCGGUAAGCCUCCGCCGCACGUGCCACCGCUGGCGCCGAAGGUGGUGUGGUGGACGUGAGCUCUAACGUGGAGGUGCGAGUGGUGCAGCGUUAGAGGUCCGAGUGGCGUGGGACACGGAGGUUGUUGGAGCGGCGGCUGUUGCAAGUACCAGGGGCUAGGGUUUCCUAGGUUGGCUGAAAGUGUUAAGGUUUUGGGCCUUUUUGGGCUAGGUUUUAUUUGGGUCAUUUGGGGUUUGGGUUUAGUUGUGUUUGGGCUUCUAUUUUUUGUAUCUUGGGCUGUUAAAAGAUAUAUAUACUUUUAUUUAUGUCUAUUUAUUUGUGGGUCAUGGGCCGGACAAUUUCGGCCCAUUACAAUAAGUAUAAAUAUAUUGAUAAAUCCAACGAUUGGAUUGUUAAA